UGUACACCGCCGAGGAACAGAGUGAAUUGAUUGGUUAAGCAGAUCUGGAAACACACAGAAGACACAAUACCUCUCCACAAUAACAAAUACUCUGACAAAAAUAGUCCGUAGGCAAAAAGGGUAUAACCAAGGAAUCGAAAUCAUGCGCAAACCAUCAUUUCCAUCCACAAAGGGAAUUGAAUCCUUUCUCGUCGAUUCUUCACGAUCUAAGAUGGAAACCAAAGUCGAGUAACACAGAAACCACAAAUACAACGGUAAGAAAACAGAUCAUCCUUUCAUAAAUACCGAGAAAGAUGAGAGUAAUUCAUGGAAAUAAAAUAUAGAACGAGGAAACAGAGGAACCUAAAACGAGGAAAUAAGAUUUGAUCAGAGACACAUCCCGAUUGCUUCUCCAUGUUCUAUACCAAAACGAAAAAAACAUGUUUCUCUUAAGAUAAGAAAGAAAAAAGAUAAGAAGCCCUGAUAAACCGCCAACAGAGAAAACGCCAAAACAGUCAUCACGGAUCAAAGCAUCCAUAACCCUGAAGACGUAAGAAUGGAGACAGCCAAGACAACAAAACGAGAGUAGAUCACAUGCAAAAAAAAAAAGGCAACAGAUGCAAUCUAGAAGAAAACAAACCUACGAGAUGUAAGGAAGGAAAUAGACGCGAGGACUGAGAAGAAGUAGCGUAGAGAAACACCGAUCAAUCAAAGCAUCCUACACAAAAUAGCAUAUGACCAGAAACAGCCAACAGGUUGAACUCGAAAACAAACAAAAAAAAAGAGUCCGUGAAAAGUGAACAAACUGGUGUAGGAACGAUGAUCAGUCCAAUAAAUCGCUUUUAAACAUCCUGCGAGACCACGGUCAAAGAUCCCUGUCCAAAAACAAAACUCAGAAGAACCAGAAAGUAGACCAGCCAUAGACAUCCUCACGAAAGAAUGCAUAACCAUUAAUUGACAACCCUAAUCCCUGAGACAGCUCGGAGAUGACUUCACAUGCAUACGCACUUAUCUGUUUAACGGAUCAAGAACCGAGCAACAACAAUCAGACCCCGCGGAAAAAGUAGCUAAUGACCUGAUGAGAUAACCAUGUGGAAGCCUGAAACAGCCCUGGAUACAGAAGACUAUGCACAAACAGGUCGAAACAGAAUCAUCCAAAAUAAACCGAAUUCAAAGAGAAAGGAGAGGCUACCAAUCUUGAGAAGAAGUGAUUUGCAUUCAUCAGGCCAUGGAAUAGGUGCAGACUGUAAAAUCAAGAAAAAAGGCCAAAGAGAUAAGGGCGAAGAAAACUUGAUCGCAUCUAUACGUAAUAUAGUAACCAAAAGACAGGGAAAAGUCAUAGAGAAGAAGACUGUAUAAAGAGCCAUCCAUCGAUGCAAAUUAAUCAAAACGGAAAAGAAAGGUAGAUUAGAUCAGAGCCACUCCCAUUGCUUUUCUCUCUUGGAGCCUCCAUCUU
rnacentral:lncRNA from 1 species